rnacentral:rRNA from 1 species
AUACGUAGGUGGCGAGCGUUAUCCGGAUUUACUGGGUGUAAAGGGUGUGUAGGCGGGGAGGCAAGUCAGAUGUGAAAACUACGGGCUCAACCCGUAACUUGCGUCUGAAACUGUUUCCCUUGAGAGUGGGAGAGGUAGAUGGAAUUCCCGGUGUAGCGGUGGAAUGCGUAGAUAUCGGGAGGAACACCGGUGGCGAAGGCGAUCUACUGGACCAUUACUGACGCUGAGACACGAAAGCGUGGGGAGCAAACAGGAUUAGAUACCCUGGUAGUCCACGCCCUAAACGAUGAACACUAGGUGUGGGGGACGUUACGUCUUCCGUGCCGCAGUUAACACAAUAAGUGUUCCACCUGGGGAGUACGGCCGCAAGGUUGAAACUCAAAUGAAUUGGCGGGG